rnacentral:tRNA from 1 species
GCCUUCGUGGUGCAGUGGUCAGCACGUUUGACGUGUAUUUGAGAGGUCCGUGGUUCUAUUCCUGGCGAGCGCA